rnacentral:rRNA from 1 species
UACGGGGGGGCAAGCGUUGUUCGGAAUUAUUGGGCGUAAAGGGCGCGUAGGCGGUGCGGUAAGUCACCUGUGAAAUCUCCGAGCUCAACUCGGAGCCUGCAGGCGAAACUGCCGUGCUGGAGUAUGGGAGAGGUGCGUGGAAUUCCCGGUGUAGCGGUGAAAUGCGUAGAUAUCAGGAGGAAUACCGGUGGCGAAAGCGACUCUCUGGACGGCAACUGACGCUGAGGCACGAAAGCGUGGGGAGCAAACAGG